UACAGAGGUCUCAAGCGUUGUUCGGAUUCAUUGGGCGUAAGGGGUGCGUAGGCGGCGCGGUAAGUCGGGUGUGAAAUCUUGGAGCUUAACUCCGAAACUGCAUUCGAUACUGCCGUGCUUGAGGACUGGAGAGGAGACUGGAAUUUACGGUGUAGCGGUGAAAUGCGUAGAUAUCGUAAGGAAGACCAGUGGCGAAGGCGGGUCUCUGGACAGUUCCUGACGCUGAGGCACGAAGGCCAGGGGAGCAAACGGG
rnacentral:rRNA from 1 species